AGUGAACGCUGGCGGUAGGCCUAACACAUGCAAGUCGAACGGCAGCACAGUAAGAGCUUGCUCUUACGGGUGGCGAGUGGCGGACGGGUGAGGAAUACAUCGGAAUCUACUUUUUCGUGGGGGAUAACGUAGGGAAACUUACGCUAAUACCGCAUACGACCUACGUGUGAAAGCAGGGGAUCUUCGGACCUUGCGCGAUUCAAUGAGCCGAUGUCGGAUUAGCUAGUUGGCGGGGUAAAGGCCCACCAAGGCGACGAUCCGUAGCUGGUCUGAGAGGAUGAUCAGCCACACUGGAACUGAGACACGGUCCAGACUCCUACGGGAGGCAGCAGUGGGGAAUAUUGGACAAUGGGCGCAAGCCUGAUCCAGCCAUACCGCGUGGGUGAAGAAGGCCUUCGGGUUGUAAAGCCCUUUUGUUGGGAAAGAAAAGCAGCAGGUUAAUACCCCGCUGUUCUGACGGUACCCAAAGAAUAAGCACCGGCUAACUUCGUG
rnacentral:rRNA from 1 species